rnacentral:tRNA from 1 species
GCGGGAGUGUCAGAGUGGUCAAAUGAACAUGGCUAAGGACCAUGUGGCUUAGUGCCUGCGCAGGUUCGAACCCUGUCUCCCGCA